GGCCAUGCUUUAAAAGAUUAAAUGGAAAAUAUUUAUUAAUAUAACUGCAUAAGUAAUAUAUACAAUGGAAACUUCAUGGAUAACCGAUCUUUAGUAAGAAUUCGUAUAAUUGCGAAAUUGGAUCAUUUAUAUUGGGACUACAAGUACUUGGGAUGUAUAGAUGCAUAUCAUUUCGCUGAUACCCUUUCUUAACAACAAAUACAAUUCAAGGCAAGCCUCAAGGACCCAUUUGCCAUUGGAAAGGAUGUGAAACUCUUAUCUAAUAGUUUGGAAAAAUCUCUAGUCUUUUUGGACAUUUGAACAUUUACUUAAAUCGAAGCAUUUUCACAAUCAAAUUAGCUGAAAGAUGUGCCAAGAUUUACUGCUUAUGUCUAAAACAUGUCAGCCGAGUCUCGAUAAUUCGAAAUGGCAAGGGGACAGAAUUUUUAUGAAUUACAGAGGUUUUUGAAUUACCGGGUUUUCGAAGGGACGAAGUUUCCUACGAAAUAUUGAGGUUUUUGAUUUAGCGGGUUACGAAUUAUCGAUUUACAUAUGUAUGUAUGUAUAUGUAUAUAUGUAGCUUCCAUCACUAGCAAAUAAAAAUCA